rnacentral:rRNA from 1 species
CACGUAGGGGGCAAGCGUUGUCCGGAUUUAUUGGGCGUAAGGAGCUCGUAGGCGGUUCGGUAAGUCGGGUGUGAAACCUCCAGGCUCAACCUGGAGACGCCACCCGAUACUGCUGUGACUAGAGUCCGGUAGGGGAGCGUGGAAUUCCUGGUGUAGCGGUGAAAUGCGCAGAUAUCAGGAGGAACACCAGCGGCGAAGGCGGCGCUCUGGGCCGGAACUGACGCUGAGGAGCGAAAGCGUGGGGAGCAAACAGG